GAGAGAGAGAGAGAGUAGAAAGAUUAUGUUGCCUUUCUUUCUGCUAUACAAUAUACUAGAGGACAAGGGCCAUGCCCCAGCAAGAGCUAAACUACAACUACGCAACUUAAAGUGAACAAGACUACUAAGGUUGAAUGGAUAUACUAGCUGGAAUCUUACACAUCCUAAUCGGUCCAAAUAACCAUACACAAGGGUUCUUAC
rnacentral:misc_RNA from 1 species